AUUGAACGCUGGCGGCAGGCCUACCACAUGCAAGUCGAACGAGUGGCGGACGGUUGAGUAAUGUCUGGGAAACUGCCUGAUGGAGGGGGAUAACUACUGGAAACGGUAGCUCAUACCGCAUACCAUCGGAUGUGCCCAGAUGGGAUUAGCUUGUUGGUGGGGUAACGUCUCACCAAGGCGACGAUCCCUAGCUGGUCUGAGAGGAUGACCAGCCACCCUGGAACGGAGACACGGUCCAGACUCCGACGGGAGGCAGCAGUGGGGAAUAGUGGACAAGGGGCGAAAGCCUGAUCCAGCAAUGCCGCGUGUGUGAAGAAGGUCUUCGGAUUGUAAAGCACUUUAAGUUGGGAGGCGUUACCAACAGAAUAAGCACCGGCUAACUUCGUGCCAGCAGCCGCGGUAAUAC
rnacentral:rRNA from 1 species